CCGAAUCGGAAUUGCAGAUAUUCAUGAAAAGCAAACCUUUGCAUACGCCAGCACCUCUGAAACAUUUUACCCAGCUAACACUUUGAAUCCCCACAAUAGUCUUGUAAGGUAAAUUGCAUUAUUAUCUGCAUUGCAUAAGUGAGGAUACUGAGGCAAAGAGAAAUGAACUUACUUCUUGAAGCCGCACAGCUCAUCAGUGGUGUAGGGGGCAGAACGUGAAUCAGGUCAGCCUGGCUUCCUGGCUCAGAGCUCUAGCCACCGCCCGACCCCUGCUGCCUUUCUGUCUGAUUUCAGAACCUCUUUGCUCUGGACAGGUGUCUCUGUGAAUGGAUUUAAAACGGUAUUAGUCGUCCAGUUCUUUUAGUCUCUGGUGACCUCAUUGUGUCGAAAGGACAGGACUUGCUGCACGCCACGUCAGUGGCGAUCGCAGUUAUUGAGAUGGAUCUGCACUGAUGUCUGGGAGUUUGGACUGGAUGUUAGUGACAUACGAAGGUGACCGCCAAGAGAUAAACGGCAUGUUGGAAAGCUGGAGCCCUGCUAGGCGGGAGAAGUCAUCACAGACUGUGGCUGAUCCCCCUUCCAUCAGGCUCUUUUAUGAGCAGUCGUCGUGUAGUCAGACUUAUCUAAAGGCUGAACAAAUCACACUGGAAUUGUCUGGAACGUGGGAAAAGGGGGGAGAAGUACUGGGUGUGAGUGAGGACGUGGGGGAGGUUCAGCGGGAAGAUGGAACAUGAACGAAGGGGAAUGUGCUGUCAGGCAGUUUUCUUUUCAGGAAUGAAGGACCAGGAAUGGAGGCACAAACAGAGGGAAUUUUCUUCAAUUGCAGGUGUGGAAAUAGAGAAAUGAGCGAGCGUCCCGGAGCAUCCCGCGUGGCAAGCUGGGCCCUGGUAAAAGUGAGGCCUGGCGUUUACCACUGGAUUUGAAUGUUCCCAAGAAUGAUGUUUCAAGAAGUGUCUUCCUAUCCUGGAUUUAGGGGGAGGUCCUCCAGCCGUGCAGAGGCUACAGGAAGAAAGG